AUGGAGCUCUCGCCGGCGGAUCCAGGUGCUGCGUUGCAGCACUCGCCGACGGGUGUUGAAGCUGCAGUGCAGCGCUCGGUGCUCCAAUGGAGCUCGCCGGCGCUCUCGAAGCUGCAGUGCCGCGCUCGGUGCUCCAUUGGAGCUCUCUCCGGCGGCUCCCGGUGUUGGGUUGCAGCGGUCGGCGGCGGCUCCGGUGUUGCAACGCGGUGCUUUGCCGGCGGCAGCCGUGAUGCAUUACAACAACGGCGUGUUGCUGCCUUGCUACGGCUUCGAUGGGCAUCGAAGCAGGGGUGGCUAAUGUGGGCGCGGGAGGAGGACAGCGGGCGUGUGUGCGUGUGUUGA
rnacentral:rRNA from 1 species